GAUGAACGCUGACAGAAUGCUUAACACAUGCAAGUCAACUUGAAUUUGGGUUUUUAACUUAGGUUUGGGUGGCGGACGGGUGAGUAACGCGUAAAGAACUUGCCUCACAGCUAGGGACAACAUUUGGAAACGAAUGCUAAUACCUAAUAUUAUGAUAAUAGGGCAUCCUAUAGUUAUGAAAGCUAUAAGCGCUGUGAGAGAGCUUUGCGUCCCAUUAGCUAGUUGGCGAGGUAACGGCUCACCAAGGCGAUGAUGGGUAGCCGGCCUGAGAGGGUGAUCGGCCACAAGGGGACUGAGACACGACCCUUACUCCUACGGGAGGCAGCAGUGGGGAAUAUUGGACAAUGGACCAAGAGUCUGAUCCAGCAAUUCGGUGUGCACGAUGAAGUUUUUCGGAAUGUAAAGUGCUUUCAGUUGGGAAGAAAGAAAUGACGGUACCAACAGAAGAAGUGACGGCUAAAUACGUG
rnacentral:rRNA from 1 species